UUAGCCUUGGUCCUUGGAAGCCUCCCAGCCCUCCCCGCACAGCCGCACUUGGCUUCAACAGCAGCGCCGUUUCCCUCUUCUUGAAUGGCUGAAAUGUGUUUCCGACUCCGACCUCGAUCUCUUCAUCAUCACCGAUCGAUCUGGCCGCCGCCGCGAUGGAUGCCUUUCCUUCGCCACCGACGAGCUCCCCGUCCUCUCUGGCAAGAUUCCAUUGCAAGCCUUUGAAGCCUUCUUCGCAAGCUUACGCGAUUCCUUCUCUGAUCUCUUCGGUUCCGUCAUCACGGAUGUGAUGAUCGGUCUAGGACCGGACGGUGAGCUUCGGUACCCAUCGAUCUCAGUGAAGGAUACUAUAUAGAUCGAAGACAGUUGGCGUCGCGUCCAAGGUGUUUGACGUUUUUCCUGUGAGAAUCUCCGGGAAGAUCGCUCUCAUGGAUGCGUGGCACUGAAGCUGCGCGCGCCCGGCGGAGCUCACUGCAGGGUACCGUGACUAUGACACGAUCGCGCGAAUGUUCACGAAGAACUCGUGCGGCGUUGUGGUGCCGGGAAUGGGAUCCGGAGAGGGCCAGGUGGGAGCUUCUUGUUGUUGAUUUCAUGGUUGUUAAUGGUGAUUGAGGGUUUGAAGAGGAGGAGGAUGAGAGUGAGGAUGAAGAAGUUGGUGAUGAGAAUGAAGAGCCAGAACUCCAUUGUUGCUGCUGCUUUUUCUUCUUCUUGUUGUUGGCAUGGCUUUUCUUUGAUUAUUAUUUAGAGUUCAUCCCCAUGGCUUUUUCUUCUUGUUGUUGUUGGCAUGGCUUUACACUCUAAAUGACUCAAUUGGAAUGUUUAUGUAUGAAUUUUGUUUAAUUCAUCGCGUUGGACCGUUGGUAUUGGUUUUUCUCAA